rnacentral:lncRNA from 1 species
AGCAAGUUAACACAUGUUUGAUAAUGCUGAUAAGGGUGACAGGGCCUGUUGCACGCUCAACCAUUACUGGUGGAGUGGUGGACGAAGCCAGAAUCCGAAUCUGGAAAUUCCUACAAAACCAACACGUGCCGUGAUUGCAACAUGUGCAGCUUCUGCUGGACUAACUUAAUCUCGAUCUUAAACUCUUGAUGUAUCCCAUCCCCAUUACAAAGCUAUUUAUGAUUAGGCACUGGAUUCUAAUGACCAGGCUAUUCAACAUAUAUCAACUCGGUUCUAAUGGACUGCCAAUUUUGUUUUUCAGAUAUUGCCAGAAGGAAACAAUGCAAGUGAUGUUUUCUCCACACCCUUCAAGGACAUCACUUGAAUAGACGGACUAGGUAGCUAUAUAUAUUGAGAUGCAUGUACCAACUAGUUCAAUCUAAAAGUUUAAGUUGAUAGGGAAAGGUGUACAAUUCACUUAUACUCCAACACUCCCCCACUCCCCC